rnacentral:piRNA from 1 species
UGGCAAACGAUUGUAAAAGCCGCUCUCC